AUACGGAGGGGGCAAACGUUGUUCGGAAUUACUGGGCGUAAAGGGCGCGUAGGCGGAUUAUCAAGUCAGAGGUGAAAGCCCUGGGCUCAACCUAGGAACUGCCUUUGAAACUGAUAGUCUUGAGUCCGAGAGAGGAUGGCGGAAUUCCCAGUGUAGAGGUGAAAUUCGUAGAUAUUGGGAAGAACACCAGUGGCGAAGGCGGCCAUCUGGCUCGGUACUGACGCUGAGGCGCGAAAGCGUGGGGAGCAAACAGGAUUAGAAACCCGGGUAGUCC
rnacentral:rRNA from 1 species